rnacentral:lncRNA from 1 species
GACGUCACCGGACGCGCCCGCUUCUCGCUGGAGUGCGCACCGAGCGGCAGUGACUUCGCCGCUGCUGUAGUUCCCCGGCUGGAUGCGGUGACUGGUGCCAGUGCUCAGGCGCCCGCUGCCCUUGACCUCCCGCCCCGCGAGCCCUAACUCAGCGCAGGAGGACCGGCUGCCGCCGCCGCCGCCGCCAGAGCCUUGGCUGCCCAGUUGCCAGUCCUACCACGGUCGGAGGUAACCUUCCUGGCUCCAGUCACAUGGCCAGAUAAGGUGGUGUGUGUGGGCAUGAAUUAUGUGGACCACUGCAAAGAACAGAACGUGCCCGUGCCCAAGGAGCCCAUCAUCUUCAGCAAGUUUGCCAGCUCCAUCGUGGGGCCCUAUGAUGAGGUGGUCCUCCCACCACAGAGCCAGGAGGUAGAUUGGGAAGUGGAGCUGGCCGUGGUCAUUGGAAAGAAAGGCAAGCACAUCAAGGUGAAGUGGAAAAGGUGGGCUCCCAGGCCAGAGUGCAGCAGAGUCCCCAGCUCCUGCCUCUCCUAGUUCUGACCUCGCUCACCAACACAUGGUGCCAGCUGUCCCUGACACUAGGAAGCAGUCAGCCUCCUUGCUCCCUGACACUGCCUUUCCCUUCACCCACCUUUGGCUGGCUCUGGCUACUAACAUGGGAUAACAGCUUUGAGAUCCCUUGCCACAGGUGUUGGUGUCACCCAUGAUCUAUCCUCCUGUAUGGCCAAAUCCCCUGCCCCCAUAGGCCACAGAUGCCAUGGCCCACGUGGCCGGCUUCACUGUGGCUCAUGACGUGAGUGCUCGUGACUGGCUAACAAGAUGCAAUGGGAAACAGUGGCUGCUGGGAAAAACCUUCGACACCUUCUGCCCUCUGGGCCCUGCCUUGGUGACCAAGGACAGUGUAGCAGAUCCACACAACUUAAAGAUCUGCUGUCGAGUGAAUGGGGAAGUGGUCCAGAGCAGCAACACCAACCAGAUGGUAUUCAAGACAGAGGACCUGAUAGCCUGGGUGUCCCAGUUUGUUACCUUUUACCCAGGGGAUGUCAUCCUGACUGGGACCCCCCCACCUCCACCCAGGUGUCGGUGUAUUCAGGAAACCUCCUGUCUUUCUCAAGGUCUCUGAAGGUCCAGACAGCACUGAUGGCGAGCUUUGGGUCCGCACACUCUGGAAAGAAGAGAGAAGUGAAGGCUCUAGGUAGGGAGAACAGAGAGCCACUGGGCACAGGCUUCUCUCCUCUUGUUUAAAGAAGCCCAGGGAGGGAUAGAGCUCUGACUGGACAGAAGACUGUACUCUGCAGCCUGCCUUCCUAGAGUUGGGUUGUCACUGUCCUGCAGGGGGCAGCAGCCACCAGCAAACACCACUGCCUGCAGGAGCCUGGGCUGACUGGUUGGGACUCACCGAAGAUCCCUUCUUCCUGGGCGGUGGCCUGCAGGAACUGGAACAGCUGCUCUGUGUAGCCCAACUCUGCAGAAGAGAGAAGACCUAGACCUGGCACCCAGCACAGACACAGCCUGCCUCGAGGACUGCAAGGGAACAAGGGCCUCACCAGUAUCGGGCAGCUGGCCCUGGCGGAGGAAGGCGGCAGCCUGUGCAAAGGCCUUGAGCAGCGGGCUGAGCAGGCGGCAGAGGAAAAGAAAGAAAUCUGGGCAGUGUGACUGCUGGCUGAGCUGGAGGGGACAGGCCGGGGUGAGUGCAGCUCCCCACCGCCUCCCUACCACCUCCCUCCAGGGGCAGCUUUUUGAAACACACCCUGAAGUACCGGCCGUCAGCCUCUCCGAAGUCAUCACUGUCACUAUCAGUAAAGUCCCCACUCGGUUUCCACAGCA